UGGGGAAUCUUCCGCAAUGGGCGCAAGCCUGACGGAGCAAUGCCGCGUGAACGAAGAAGGUCUUCGGAUUGUAAAGUUCUGUCCUUAUCGAAGAGAGGGUAUAGAGUGAAAAAAUGAUAUACUAGGACGGUAGAUGAGGAGGAAGCCCCGGCUAACUACGUGCC
rnacentral:rRNA from 1 species